GGAAAGGUGGCGCAAGCUAUCGCUAAGAGAUGGACCCGCGGUGCAUUAGCUAGUUGGUAGGGUAACGGCCUACCAAGGCGAUGAUGCAUAGCCGACCUGAGAGGGUGAUCGGCCACAUUGGGACUGAGACACGGCCCAAACUCCUACGGGAGGCAGCAGUAGGGAAUCUUCCGCAAUGGACGCAAGUCUGACGGAGCAACGCCGCGUGAGUGAAGAAGGUCUUCGGAUCGUAAAGCUCUGUUGUUAGAGAAGAACAGCGCAUAGAGUAACUGUUAUGCGUGUGACGGUAUCUAACCAGAAAGCCACGGCUAACUACGUGCCAGCAGCCGCGGUAAUACGUAGGUGGCGAGCGUUGUCCGGAUUUAUUGGGCGUAAAGGGAGUGUAGGCGGUCUUUUAAGUCUGAUGUGAAAGCCCACGGCUCAACCGUGGAGGGUCAUUGGAAACUGGGAGACUUGAGUGCAGAAGAGGAGAGCGGAAUUCCAUGUGUAGCGGUGAAAUGCGUAGAUAUAUGGAGGAACACCAGUGGCGAAGGCGG
rnacentral:rRNA from 1 species